rnacentral:rRNA from 1 species
UCCCGCGUCCCACCCUCCGCCGUCUCCCAGAUAAUCUCCCAGCACCAUGGCCCGCGCCGGUUCUCCUUCCACUGCCGCGGCGCCGGCGACCUCUGCGCCCAGGCGGAGAGCUGGCUUCACUCCCGGGCCCUCGCCAGCCUCGAGGAGCUCGACAUCGCUUACGCCAGCCCGCGGCUGCUGGCAUCAGUGCUCCGCUCCGUAUCCACCACCAUCCUGGCUGCCAAGAUCAACGGGUGCGAGAUCGUGCCGGCCAUGAAUUUCCCCAAUCUCAAGAAGCUCACCCUGUUUCACACUUCCAUCUCAGAGGACGUCUUGCACGCGCUGCUCUCCGGCUGCCAUGCCUUGGAGAGCUUAUACAUGGCCCAAGUUUCUGCUGCUGGUCGCCUCCGUGUUAGCUCGCCGACUCUUAGGACCAUUAUCUUCAGUCAUAGCUCUAGUGAAAUGGCACAACUGGUGAUCUUGGAUGCUCCUCGCCUUGUAAGGCUACUCUUGCCGUAUUAUUACGGAAGCGAUCGUGUGACUAUCAGGGUAGCUAGGGCGCCAAUGCUGGAGAUAUUGGGCCCUUUCAUAGCCGCCGUCUCCAAUAUCCUACUCUUUCAGGGAAUAAGCCCGGUCGGCUCGGCAAACUCGAUGCGCACCGUCAAGGUUUUGGCUCUCAGAUCUUCUGCAGAUAAGUUGCAUGCGGUUCUUAACAUCCUCAGGUGGUUCCCCUGUCUCGAGAGGCUCCAUGUCACUUUUGGUAAACACCAUGAUAUGGAUCAGCAAAAUGAGCCUCAGCAUGACCCACUACAUCCAAUCGAAUGCCUUGAGACCCAUCUAAAAAAAGUGGUGUUUAAGCCAUUCGAGGGCUAUGGGAAACAGGUUGACUUUGCCAGGUUCUUUGUGUUGAAUGCAAAGGUGGAAAACAGAGCCUCUCGGCACGCUCGGUUUGUAUUCAAGACUAUUUCAUCCUGA